ACUGGAGAAGGAUGGAUCCCACACCAUGCUAGAAUAUUCACAUCAGGUUAGAGCAAUCUUGUAGAUUCUGUUUAUGUUGAGCGAAUCAAGUGAUAUAGUAUCUGUGUAUUCAUUAGCAAACAUGUCAUGUCCCACACAUGUAGAAUAAUAUUUUACUUUGACAUAUCAUGAGGACAUACUGUAUAAUUUCAAAUGUUAUGUCAGAGUUCAGUCAAGUUAAUGAAUCUGAAAUGUUGCUUGUGCAAAACAAUGAACUGAAUGGGGACUGUCAUUUUUAUUUUUAUUUUGUUUUUAUUUAUUUUUUGUAGAUAAUUACUAUGAAGCAAGGUUAAAGCUACCAGAAGAUGUUGAACACACAGACCCCGGGACAGAGAAUUCUCCACUAGAAGUCAAAAAAGAAGAAAUGUUAUGAUAUCCAACCAAAAUUUAAUAAAGUGCUUCAUUAGACCAAAGAACAUCCUAUUCCCUGGGGAAGAUGAAGUCGAAAAUAACUUCUCAAAAGCUAAUCAAAUUAAAAUAUCACCAGGGUUGGGAGGGUUACUUUUGAAAUAUAUUCCACUACAGAUUACAGAAUACAUGCUGUAAAAUGUAAUUUGUAACAUAUUUCAUUAGAUUACUCAAGGUGAUUUCUUCAUUAAGAAGAUACCAAAGCUAAGAAAAGCAACUGCCUAGUGGACAGCAGAUUUUUCACUCAUCUCUUCCUAACUCUCAAGGGGCUGUCACCACUGAGAAGAACAUCUUGGCAAAACCAAGGAAAACCUGCUGUGAGUUAAAAAAUCACCUGACAUGCAACCCCACCGACCAGGAGACUGAAGUUAAUGUACAGAGAUGGCUUCAGUUUGCCCCUGAAAGAGACUGAGGAAGGAGAAAGAGGUUGAGGAGAAAAGAAGGGCAGGACACUCUUAACUCACUUGUUUAGGACAAUUCUGACUAGGCUCUCUCUCUCUCGCUCUCUCACACACACAUACACAGAGAGAGAAAAACAAAUGCAGCUAUUAGGGUAGUGCAAUAAAAUAACUAUUGUGAUCAUACAAAUGUGUUGUUUUUUAUCUGUUGUUUGAUCCAUUUAAUUUGUUUAGAAUAUGCAUGCAUAUUGCAUUAAUGCAAGGCCUUCCUUUUGUCCCCUCUACAAAAUGUAUAACUGUGAUAAUUGGAAAAAAUUGAAUUAAUUGCAUUUUAAUUGUUAAUUGUAUUUAUUUUAGUUCAAUUUAGUUUAUUUUAUUGUACUUUUAGUUCAUUGGAAGUGUUGUAUGUGCACUGUAAAAAAAUGUACAAAAUUGUAAUUUGUCAAAAGGACCUAAUUUAUAUAUAUAUAUAUAUAUAUAUAUAUAUAUAUACAAAUUAAUUUUUUCUUCACAUUUUAGAAUAAUAGUAAAGUCAUCAAAACUAUGGAAUAACAUAAAUGGAACUAUGGGAAUUAUGUUGUGACUAAACAAAAUCCAAAAUAAACCAAAACUGUGCUAUAUUUUAGCAUCUUCAAAGUAGUCACCCUUUGCCUAGAAUUUACAGACAUGUACUGUUGACAUUUUCUCAACCAACUUCUUGAGGUAUCACCCUGGGAUGCUUUUUAACAGUAUUGAAGGAGUUAAUAUGUUGGCACAAUUAUAUUUUUGUCUACAAAACUAAUUUCAAACAUUUAAGCAUACGCCUUCAGAUCAAAAGAUUUUUAAGAUCAUGAGAAACAUUUCAGUCAAGUGUUUCAAAAUUUUUGACCGGUAGUGUAUAUACAAAAAUAAAACAUU